rnacentral:lncRNA from 1 species
CGAGAAUCCACCGCGGCCUCUUCACCCAACCGCCCCCUCCUGCGUGGGGGCCCCGCAUCCCCUGGACUGGCGUGGGCUCUGGGGCCCGAUGCCCUGGCAGCCCCGGCCAUCUCUGCCGCUGGCCGCGGGUACCUGCUCACCUGUCCACGCCGUGGCCGACCCGGGGAUCACCGACAGCCAGGCCAUGCCUCGAGUCCCGCCGCCCGCGCCGCUGCUCGGCUUCUCAGAAACGCACCUCCACGCCGCCAGCCGGGGCUCCAGCGUCCACCGCCCGGGCCCGGAGGACUGGCGACUCCCUCCGAAGUUGGGAGCGCUCGGGAUUUCUCCAACUUCAGGAGACAGGGUUGCGCUCUGUUACCCAGGCUGGAGUGAUCAUGGCUCACUGCAGCCUCAACCUCCUGGGCUCAAGUGAUCCUCCCACCUUAGACUCCUGAGUAGCUGGAACUACAGGCUUGCACCACCAUGCCCAGCUAAUGUUUUAACUUUUUGUAGAAAUAGGGUCUCCUGGGCUCAAGUGGUCCUCUGUCUCGGCAUCCGAAAGUGAGCCACUGUACCCAGCCUGAUUUGUUUUUAAGAGAUGUCCUGGCUGCUGUGUGGAGAACAGACGGAGGCCAGGCAAGGCUGAGGAGAACAAUUCAGAGCCUGGUACAACAGACUGAGCUAGAGAUGAUGGUGGCUUGAAAUAGAGCAGUAAUAAUAACGGAGGAGGAGAAAACUGGUCAGAUAAAGGAAAUUACCUGAAGGCAGAGCUGACAGGAUUUGCACACGGACUGGAUGAGGAACGCAACAGAAAGGGAGAGGUCAAGAUGACUCAGGCUUUUGACUUGAGCAACUGGGUGAGGCGAGGUGCCCCUUACUGAGAUGCUGGUUUGAUUUGAUUUGAAGCUUGAGAGGAUAAGAAGCUUUGUUUGGAAACACUGAGUUUGAGAUGCCAGUUGGCCAUCCAAGUGCGGAUACUAGGAAGGCACGGGUUCUACUGUUGGUCUCUGAGGCGGAAUACUACACCUCAGGGGUUGACAAGAUGAUCCACCGGGUGGGAGCACGUUUCUACACCCAUGCCUACGAAUUUUCACCUAAAAUAAGAAACAAACGAAGCUCCUCUGGUUUAGAAUAUGGUGUAAGAGCAGCCUCCCAGCCAGUCUCCAUCUCUGUGAGGCACAAGACACAUGUGAGGAGCCAGGGUCGCCAAGAAAAGAGAAGCACUGGCACCCACAACUCGGGCGCAGGGCACUGACUGACUCUCGCCUCUCAAUACAUAGAGAAUAGUUACAGCUUAGCUAUGCCUGGGUAAUGAGAUGUCCUGACCUAUAUGAUCGUGUUUUUAACUAAAGCAACCACCACAAAAUAGAAAGCAGCUUUGAUGGAUUCCCGGAAAGAACACCCGACUGAAGGGCGUAAACGUGACGCGAGCCCAUGCGCACCACAGGAGAGGGCCCGUGGGCGCAUCUUCUGCUCCUAGCACAGCAGCCACGCGCGUCCGCACUACAGGAGAGGGCCCGUGGGCGCGUCUUCUGCUCCUAGCACAGCAGCCACCCGUGUCCACAGUGGAGCGGAGGUUUCCCAUCCAAGACCCCCAGUGGGUGCCUGGAACCUCGGAGAGUACCACACCCUAUAUACACUAGGGGUUUUCCUAUGUGUGCUUAUUCAUGAUAAAGUUUCAUUUAUAAAUUAG